CAGAAGAACUGAAGAGGGGUUCAUAUACAUAUCGUCUGUGGUCGAAGCAGAUAACCCUUCGGAGCGGUCGGGAUUGAGCAGUCUCUACAAACAAGCAUCGCUAGCAUCAAGAUUGCUCGUGGUUUCAAGAAUAUCGAACCGAAAGGUGCUCCCGUGAAUGGUUUCUCCCGCAGGCGCAAUCCGGUGCUUCGACACCGUUUCUCUCAGCCAAAAACUUUCGCUCCACCGCCACGCCAGGGUGGCAAUCAUAGUGCACGUCUUCUUGUGGGACCGGAGGGUGAACUACGCUAACGUGGGCAGCAUCCGGGCCCGGGCCAUGUCCACGUCAACGUCGAGCCCGCCUAAUUUGGGGCGGCCCGUUAAUCAGAGUCAGGUGGUGCCACUGGAAGUUGACGACCAAGAGGAUUUGGAAGAUGACUACGAGAUCGAAGUUAGCGAUGAGCCGGAUAUUACGCUUGAACGGAAUAAUACCGUAAUGGAAGAAGUCUUCCAGCUUGAGGGUCUUCCCGGCUUCAUUCCGUAAAAGAUUUGCGCUUCAUUUUGCUGCCA